UACGAAGGGGGCUAGCGUUGCUCGGAAUUACUGGGCGUAAAGGGCGCGCAGGCGGCCCUUGAAGUCAGGCGUGAAAGCCCCGGGCUCAACCUGGGAGGUGCGCUUGAUACUCGAGGGCUUGAGUGCGGGAGAGGAGAGUGGAAUUCCCAGUGUAGAGGUGAAAUUCGUAGAUAUUGGGAAGAACACCGGUGGCGAAGGCGGCUCUCUGGACCGUAACUGACGCUGAGGCGCGAAAGCUUGGGGAGCAAACAGG
rnacentral:rRNA from 1 species